CCUACGGGCGGCAGCAGUGGGGAAUAUUGCACAAUGGGGGAAACCCUGAUGCAGCAACGCCGCGUGAGUGAAGAAGUAUUUCGGUAUGUAAAGCUCUAUCAGUAGGGAAGAAGAACGACGGUACCUAACUAAGAAGCCCCGGCUAACUACGUGCCAGCAGCCGCGGUAAUACGUAGGGGGCAAGCGUUAUCCGGAUUUACUGGGUGUAAAGGGAGCGUAGACGGCUGUGCAAGUCUGAAGUGAAAGCCCGUGGCUCAACCGCGGAACUGCUUUGGAAACUGUAUAGCUGGAGUACGGGAGAGGCAGGCGGAAUUCCUAGUGUAGCGGUGAAAUGCGUAGAUAUUAGGAGGAACACCAGUGGCGAAGGCGGCCUGCUGGACAGAAACUGACGUUGAGGCUCGAAAGCGUGGGGAGCAAACAGGAUUAGAUACCCGAGUAGUC
rnacentral:rRNA from 1 species